UGGAAAGCAAUGAGACAGCUUUAAUGUGGUUAGGGCAACAUUGUUACACAUGUCCAAUACUACAUAGGGUAAUUAUUCUCAACAUAGCAGGGCCAAAAUUAUGCCCUGAGUUUCACCAUAAGUAACAAUGAGGGGUCUCUACUGAGGGCAGAGUUUAGUCCAUGAGAAACACGCUCAUGUUUUAAUUCUUAUAGUAGCUUAUUGUAGCUUGCAAACGCUGUUCUAAGCUGAAAAUACCCAACCACAUAAAGGAAUUGGCAUCCAACAAGCUAGAUUCUUGGCAUAGCUCCAGUGACUUCAAAGGUGCAAAAUCAAUUUGAAGCAGCAGCAGAAAAUUGGGCCCUUCUCCCGCCAAAAAAAAAAUUAAAGGGACAGAGUCUCUUUUGGGGUGCCAUUUACAUUUGCUUUGCACGCGAGUCAAAGGCGAGUAAAUUAGAAGAGUAACAUGCUCCACCCACUUUGCUUGGAUUUCAAACGACCCCACAAGCAACGGAGAAACAAAUCCAUAUCCUUCCAAAUGCCAUGUUUCUAAAGCAAUGUGUCUCUUACGCUGUACUCAACGGUGGAAAGUGAUUUCUCUGUAUUAAAUACUGAAAUUGGGACCCACUCCCAGUUUAAAUUGCUACAUUUUGACCAACUCAGAAGCCGGCAAGAAGGCAGAGCAUGAAGAAUCAAAGCAACAAGCAAAUCAGCAGGUAUGUUAGCUGUAAGCUUUGUACUGCAGCCAUUAAUUUCAACCUCUCUCUGCAGGUUCAUUGAACUUUUCCAAAUGUGACCCCUUUCUGGCAUGCCAACCCUAAGCAACUUCACUUUGAUUUCAGAUUAGUCUCCUCCAAAACAUUUAGGACUCCAAAGAGUUCUGGGCCCACGACAAGAAUUUAAUAUGACAGUUUCUGCUAGAACAAACCUCUUACUCAGCAUGAUGCACUUAGCGAUUCAAUUUCAAUUUCUUCAUUGCAUGUUAUGCAAGUCAUUGCUCGUUAUAUCAUAAACAUACUGGUUUAAUCCUCCAGUACAAGCACAGUAACUGGUCUCCUGUUUUUGUUUUAGAACGGAACGAAUGCAAGAUGGAGAUAAAUACGAUCAAGUUUGGUGCAUGGAUGACCUGUGAUACAUGUGAUGGCCUCUUCUGGAUUUAAACUUGAUGUCUCUAGGCAAGUUUCAUGCACAUCUACAUGCACACAGCUACCAUUUGACUUCACAGGCUAUGAGUCUACAUAGAUUUAACUAAUUUUGCUAAUCCUUCAAUGCCAUUGUCUGGUACCCCAACCAUUUUUCUGUUCACCCUUUCUAGGACACACUUGAAAAAGCGAGCUGUGCAUAAACACCUUUUGAGCUAAACUGUAUUUGCUUUCAUGGGCAUGUGAACUGUAAACUCUUUUAAAUGUAAAGAAACAACAGUAGCAUGAAGAAUCAAAGUCAACUAAGACUCCGAGGAUUGAAAAUCCCUUCACCGAGAGCAUGCAUUGUGAUGUCUUUUCAAUUCUCUUCUGGUUAUUUCCAGUUUUACUGGGGGCGCAGUUUUAAAACUUCAAGAAUUAAGAAGAUUAUUUUAUUAUUACCAAGUAUGCGUGAAUUGCAUCAGCUUUUUCCUCCCUGCAUCACAUUUGGAAGAUCGGAUACCGCCUUCUUCAUUCGGGCUCUGAGCAAGUUGAAAGUCUGCAGCAGAGUGCAAGAUUUCUGACUGGCUUAGUGGCGGAAACGAACGGAAUGCUCAUCCACAAAGACCGUUUUGGUUAUAAAAAAGAUUUGCACAAGUGAUAAUCGGUUAGGACCAGCUUUUGAACCUGAGUCUUUGUGGGAGAUCCCAGGAUGACAGCUGACCAGUGUUCCCUCUAAGCUGUGGGGCAGCACAGCUUCAUAGGUGAUUAAUCAGCCCCACCCGGUCAGGCAACGCCAUGGGCCAAGCCUUGAGCCUCUGACUGGGCGGGGCUGAUUAAUCACCUGUGAAGCUGUGCGGCUUGCACAGCUUAGAAGGGACACUGGAGCUGACCCCUACAAGCAUGCUUUAUACUGUCUGUAUAUCUAAAAUUGACAACUGGAUUUAUCUACAAAGCCAAACUGCUAACCACCACCACAAAUAUGAAUAACAAGACUAUAUAGAGUACUGUUGAGGCCAUUUUUAUAGACACUGUGCAGCGGCUUUACAAUUUGGGAAGUAUUCAUUGUAAUGAAUGCAAGCUGCCACAGAAGGCAUUCAUAAAGAUAACUCUAAUCAGUUACCUGGAGAACAGAGGGAAACAACCAGCUAAAAACAGUUUUAUCUGAUUUUGUAAUAUGCAACUUUUCAGAAGCAAUUAAAAACCAGUUCCUGAUGGUUUACAUUUCCACAUUUUUUUAGGAUUAUAUUAAAAGUCAAUGCGCAUUCAUCCCAUCCAAACAGCUUAGUUGAAACACAGGCUAGAUGAAACAAAAAGAGAAAAAUUAAAGUGAUUGUUUUGCCUUCAUAUGAUGUGGUGUCAUUGUACAUUAGACUACUGAAAUUCAGAGGGCCUCCUUUAAUAUAUGGAGAUUAACCUAUCUCAGAGAGCUGGAAAAGACCUUGAGAGGUCAUUGAGUCCAGUCCCCUGCCCUCCCAGCAGG